rnacentral:rRNA from 1 species
AUUGAACGCUAGCGGGAUGCUUUACACAUGCAAGUCGAACGAGUGGCGGACGGGUGCGUAAUCUAUCGGAACGUGCCCAGUAGCGGGGGAUAACUACUCGAAAGAGAGGCUACUAACGCAUACUAUUGGAACGGCCGAUAGGGGAAUAGCUAGUGGGUGGGGUAAAGGCUCACCAAGGCAACGAUCCGUAGCUGGUUUGGUAGGACGACCAGCCACACUGGGACGGAGACACGGCCCAGACUCCUACGGGAGGCAGCAGUGGUGAAUUUUGGACAAUGGGGGAAACCCUGAUCCAGCCAUCCCGCGUGUAUGAGAAGGCCUUCGGGUUGUAAAGUACUUUUGGCAGAGAAGCGGUAUCUGCAGAAUAAGCACCGGCUAACGACGUGCCAGCAGCCGCGGUAAUAC